AGACCACAGGGAUUGCCCUAGUAACGGCGAGUGAAGCGGCAACAGCUCAAAUUUGAAAUCUGGCCUCGGCCCGAGUUGUAAUUUGCAGAGGAUGCUUCUGGCGCGGUGCCUUCCGAGUUCCCUGGAACGGGACGCCACAGAGGGUGAGAGCCCCGUAUGGUCGGACAUCAAGCCUGUGUGAAGCUCCUUCGACGAGUCGAGUAGUUUGGGAAUGCUGCUCUAAAUGGGAGGUAAAUCUCUUCUAAAGCUAAAUACCGGCCAGAGACCGAUAGCGCACAAGUAGAGUGAUCGAAAGAUGAAAAGCACCUUGAAAAGGGGGUUAAAUAGUACGUGAAAUUGUUGAAAGGGAAGCACUUAUGACCAGACUUGGGCCGGGCGGCUCAUCAGGGGUUCUCCCCUGUGCACUCCGCCCGGCACAGGCCAGCAUCGGUUCUCGUGGGGGGAUAAGACCGUCAGGGAACGUAGCACUCUCCGGGAGUGUGUUAUAGCCUGGCGGACGAUACCCCCGUGGGGACCGAGGUCCGCGCAUUGCAAGGAUGCUGGCGUAAUGGUCAUCAGUGACCCGUCUUGAAACACGGACCAAGGAGUCGUCCAUUAGAGCGAGCGUUUGGGUGUAAAACCCGCACGCGUAAUGAAAGUGAACGCAGGUGAGAGCUUCGGCGCAUCAUCGACCGAUCCUGAUGUUCUCGGAAGGAUUUGAGUAAGAGUUUUAACGGACGGACCCGAAAGACAGUGAACUAUGCUUGAAUAGGGUGAAGCCAGAGGAAACUCUGGUGGAGGCUCGCAGCGGUUCUGACGUGCAAAUCGAUCGUCAAAUUUGAGCAUGGGGGCGAAAGACUAAUCGAACUGUCUAGUAGCUGGUUACCGCCGAAGUUUCCCUCAGGAUAGCAGUGUUGAUCUUCAGUUUUAUGAGGUAAAGCGAAUGAUUAGGGACUCGGGGGCUAUAUAUUGCCUUCAUCCAUUCUCAAACUUUAAAUAUGUAAGAAGCCCUUGUUACUUAGUUGAACGUGGGCAUUCGAAUGUACCAACACUAGUGGGCCAUUUUUGGUAAGCAGAACUGGCGAUGCGGGAUGAACCGAACGCGGGGUUAAGGCGCCAGAGUGUACGCUCAUCAGACACCACAAAAGGCGUUAGUACAUCUUGACAGCAGGACGGUGGCCAUGGAAGUCGGAAUCCGCUAAGGACUGUGUAACAACUCACCUGCCGAAUGUACUAGCCCUGAAAAUGGAUGGCGCUCAAGCGUACCGCCCAUACCCCGCCCCCAGGGUAGAAACGAUGCCCUGGGGAGUAGGCGGCCGUGGGGGUCAGUGACGAAGCCUAGGGCGGAGCCCGGCA
rnacentral:rRNA from 1 species